GUGCCAUUUAUUCGUCACAACAGCCCUAAGAGGUGACUACCGUUAUUAGCCACACUUUUAGGACAGAGAAACUGAGGCUGGAAAGUGGAGGAGGUGGGAUUCCAACCGCGUCUGGAUGACUCAGAAGCCUUCGGUAAGUCCAGCAUUUUCUGCCCCUCGGACGCGGAACCCUCAUGCCGGACAGUCAACACCGCGUCGGUACUCCGAGUUGAUAGAAGGGGCUUCUCUGCGAAGUACCUCGUGGAUUCACCGGUUUACCCAAACCUCCGAAUGGUCAGGGGAGAGGCUGGACAGGAGGACGGUCGCGUGCCCCCUGUUGGACCAGGAGCGCGUGACGACACCCGCGCUUCCCUUCUCCCUCCGGGGUUACCCUCCCCUGGGCUGCCGGAGCCAGUUUUCGCACCACUCUUUGAAGCCGGUGCUCAACCUGCCCGAGGGCUGCAAUCCGGUACCCGCGCAGCUCUCGAGACCUCCUGGCCUCCACCUGGGACUUCUUCUCCUUCUCCACAGUUGGUAAUAGGACUUCUCUCUCCACCUUAAAGAUCAACAAAAUCCCUGCGCCCACCUCUGGUCUCCCUAUUACCAGGACCUCUCUCUUUCCUGCAAGGCUAAGCUUUGCCAGCCAGCCUCACAGCUUCGCCGGCCCCUCACACUUGGGUUCGCCAAUCCAGCCUUUGCCCCUCCUCCACUUUUCACUUCACCUCAUACUCCACCGGAAUUGCUCUGGCAAAAGACGCUGGGAGGAAAACCCAAUUCCAGGGUGAAUUCUCUGAUUGUGAGUGUCUCUGCCUGCUCUGAGGGUGAUUGGCAGGAAGGGAAUGUGAGGAGAAGCUUCGAAUGGCCCACAGGGAAUUCAACCGCAUAUCCUGGUCCAACUAAAACAGUGCUCUCAGCCAACAGGAUGGGCGCUCAGGGAAGAAAGAAGUCAAAUGAUUUCUGACAUCCUACCAAAGUGUUGGUACCUGAUAGCCACUUCUGAGCUCCAAAUGUCACGUCCAGCGUGGCAAGGGCAAAUGGGACACGAGAGGGGCGGCGCAGAUUGAAUAAGUACAAGAGACAGAAGUAAGAUUUAAGAGCGAGACCAAGGGACUCAGCCUUCAGAGAUAGACUGAGCCACUGAAUCAGGUCAACGCAUGGUUUUAUUGAUUCUUUUCAAGAAAG